GACGAACCGUGCGAACGUUGUUCGGAAUCACUGGGCUUAAAGGGCGCGUAGGCGGCCCCGUAAGUCUUGGGUGAAAGCCCUCGGCUCAACCGAGGAAUUGCCUUGGAUACUGCGGGGCUCGAGGCUGGAAGAGGGUAGCGGAAUUCCCGGUGUAGCGGUGAAAUGCGUAGAGAUCGGCAGGAACACCCAGGGGGAAACCAGUCGACUGGGCAGCACCUGACGCUGAGGUGCGAGAGCGCGGGGAGCGAACCGG
rnacentral:rRNA from 1 species